GUGGGCUGAAAGAAGGAACGAACUAGCACCACGUUAGUUAUAAAAGCGAGCUGAAUAAGCGUUCGACGAUGGUACUGUGCUGGUCCCAAGCUAGACCGUGCUAGAGACACGAGCCUGGACACAAAGGAAAACCACAGCACACCCUCGAAAACAAGGUGGAAGAAACCUAAAAUCAAUAUGAAAAACAGCCCCUUCUUUUUUUUGAAUCUUUUCUCUUUAUUUUCUUUUUUUUUCUUUUUUUUGGGCAACCUCAAAAACUGAUUAUAUGAACAAAAGAAUACAAAAGAGAAAUUCGCUACACACACUUUUUUCUGAAAGUACAGGGGUAUUCCGGUAAAAAGAAGAUCCUUUUUCCGAAAGUACAGGGCUACACACAAUCUCUCUCUCUCUCUCUCUAGAGUAAGGCCUAACAAGUAUGGAGUUAUCCUUCUUCUUUUUUAUCACGUUGGUGGAACUCAGAUUGGAACUCUACUCGAUCCGGACCAAGACCACACUUCAAUUCGGACUUCGCAACAGAUUCGACAGAGAGAAGAUAUGGUAAUACUCGGCUGUGUAUAGAUGGUGACAAGAACUCGAAACUCUAAAGGACUAGACACUAAGACCAGCAACUCGACACAAACCGAAGCAACGCAAAUUCAACAAGCCCUAACUAAAACGGUACUAGCCAAGGCACAAAGGUUUAAUAGGAUUAUGGAAAAAAAACUAAUCUACUAUAUUUUUUUGGCUUUUCUGGACUAUAGGAAAUUAAUUAAAAACAGCAAAGGAUUAGAAGUCUCUCACCGAAGAACCUUGCUCUGAUUACCAACUGAUGCGAACCCGCUAGGGUUUUUGCCUGAUCUUUUGACGAGAUACGGGGAUAACUCGAUUGGUGGAUGGAGAUGACGUUCACGGCCCGACUACAGCCCUCAAGACCGCGCCUUAGCAACCGAUACACCACGUCCAACAGCCGUCACGAUCUUGUGGAGCGCGACAACCAGCCCCUAGGGCUCCC
rnacentral:lncRNA from 1 species